AAGAGUUUGUGGUCGACGGCCAGUCCUGCUCUGAAAAAGAGUAUUGGCGACUCAAGCAAAAGACGAUUCGAAUCACUCAGGCCAUACCCGAGACCUACUCGAACAGGGACAGGGCAGACGCCGCGAUCGACGCCCUGCGUACCGGCAGGUGUGCACGCUACCCAUCCUCUAAUCCUCACUCGUGUUUUUUGGCCCAUUUUCACUUGUUUAGACUCACGCGCGCACCGCGUUCCUUUUAGCGGCGCAAAUCGUGCGUCGCGCAGAGACCCCACGGAUGAGCAUUUGUUUGGCGAGGUCUGGGACGCCGCCACGAAGCAUUGCGAUGAUCUCUACACCCAAAAAAGCGGUGUGACUUUAUAUGGUCUGUACAGAGAGCACAAAACAAAAGGUCCACCGCACAUCGGCAGACGAUUUCAG
rnacentral:lncRNA from 1 species